AGGGGCGUGGCGUAAUGGCAGCGCAGCGGACUUUGACUCCGCCGGUGCGGGUUCGAUUCCCGCCGCCCCUGCCA
rnacentral:tRNA from 1 species